GCCCCCCGAAUUGUGGUCUAGAAAGGCGUUAUCGGCCGUGUUCACCGCUCAAAUCCCUUGGAACAGGGUAUCGGAGAAGGUGAGAAUCCUGUGCCGCGGUGCUGCACGGCCGCACGAUGCGUCCUUGUCGAGUCAGGUUGCUUGGGAUUGCAGCUUGAAGUGGGUGGUAAAUUCCAUCUAAAGCUAAAUAUUGGCGAGAGACCGAUAGCGAACAAGUACCGUGAGGGAAAGAUGCAAAGAACUUUGAAAAGAGAGUCAAAGAGUGCUUGAAAUUGGCAGGAGGAAACCCGUUUGCGCCCAGUGUCGGCGUUGCGACUCAGCUGCGGUCGUGCUGUUUGACCACCGCAAGGGGUCUUUUGCGUCGUCCGUAGUGCACUUUGUAACGCCGGGUCAGCCGCCUCUCUGCGGUCGAUAUAUUGCCUUUGGUGAGCCUUCGGGAAUCCUUUGGAGGUAUCGAGCAUGGUGAGCCGGCUGACGGAAUGGGCUCAACCGACCCGUCUAGAAACACGGACCAAGGAGUCUGACACGUGUGCGAGUUCCCGGGUGGCAAGCCCGCGAGCGCAAUGAAAGUGAAGGGCAUGCCCUGCCAACCGACCUUGACCUGCUGUGAAGGGUUUGAGUGGAGCACACCUGUCGGGACCCGAAAGAUGGUGAACUAUGCCUGAGGAGGGUGAAGCCAGAGGAAACUCUGGUGGAGGCUCGUAGCGAUACUGACGUGCAAAUCGUUCGUCGAACUUGGGUAUAGGGGCGAAAGACUAAUCGAACCAUCUAGUAGCUGGUUCCCGCCGAAGUUUCCCUCAGGAUAGCUGGGACAACCACGCAGUUUUA
rnacentral:rRNA from 1 species